GAUGAACGCUGGCGGCGUGCCUAAUACAUGCAAGUCGAGCGAACGGAUGAGAAGCUUGCUUCUCUGAUGUUAGCGGCGGACGGGUGAGUAACACGUGGAUAACCUACCUAUAAGACUGGGAUAACUUCGGGAAACCGGAGCUAAUACCGGAUAAUAUUUUGAACCGCAUGGUUCAAAAGUGAAAGAUGGUCUUGCUGUCACUUAUAGAUGGAUCCGCGCUGCAUUAGCUAGUUGGUAAGGUAACGGCUUACCAAGGCAACGAUGCAUAGCCGACCUGAGAGGGUGAUCGGCCACACUGGAACUGAGACACGGUCCAGACUCCUACGGGAGGCAGCAGUAGGGAAUCUUCCGCAAUGGGCGAAAGCCUGACGGAGCAACGCCGCGUGAGUGAUGAAGGUCUUCGGAUCGUAAAACUCUGUUAUUAGGGAAGAACAUAUGUGUAAGUAACUGUGCACAUCUUGACGGUACCUAAUCAGAAAGCCACGGCUAACUACGUG
rnacentral:rRNA from 1 species